UUCCAUCUCCAGGGGCUGAGCCAAUGAGGCGCAGCCGGAAUCUGGAGCGUUCUGCAGCGCGUGGGGUUCGAACGCGGGCGGGGUCGGCUCGCUGGGUUUGGCGCCGGGUGGAGGCGGGGUGCGCGCGUCUCCUGUUCCUUGUUAUGGGACGCUCUGCUGGCGUUUGGCUUGCCCGCUCUCAGCCCUGGCUCCUACUGAGGAAGCGUUUGCUGCCGGAGGGUGAUGGUAUCUGAUGAAGUACUGUUGAAGAAAGGGGCUGCCAGUGAGUGUGGAGGCCUGAUGCAGUUCUCCUUGCAUGUCUGGACCCUGGCCUACAAGGUAGGAGGAAUGACCUGGUCUAGAUUGUCUUGCCAGGCUUUGGUAGUUUGGAAUCGUGAGCUAUUUACUUAUGGUGGCCUCUACGGGCAAGUGCACCAUUUCUAAGUGCCUGUUGCCACAACAAAACUUCUGCAUGUCAUAGCUUUGCGUAAGACAUCCUGAAUCAUUUCUGAUAGAGAUGUCUCGGCCACACCCUGGAAGGAGAGUUGUGGAUUAUAGUGGGGGUGAAAUCAUCUGACCAAAGUCCUUUUAAUGUAGUGGGAAAUUUUUACUAGCUGGUACCUGGAAGCCACCAAGAGCACUUCCUCUAUUACACCGUAUAAUUCAUGCUUAGUGUAAACCAGUGGAAUUGCUGUAGUGGGGGCAGUAGCUCUGCUUUUAGGAUAGCGUUCUGGCGAUUGGCUUUUUCAUUUCCAUUGUCCAUUACCUCACCAAGGGUGUGUUUCACUGACAGAGAUCCACAGAGGAGUGAGUACACUAUUUCCCUCCUGUCCUUCCUUUUAGUCUCUGUGGGGCAGACCUGUAGCAUCCACAGGUGGUGGAUAGUGGAAUGACCUUCAGGGAAGGUUAGCCAUGAAAUAAGCAGGGGUAACUGAAGAAUAAGCACCAAGCAGCAGCAGCACCACCAGGAUGUGAUGGGGACAGCAAAUGGCAAAGGUUUCCCUCCUGAAAAGCCAUGUGUAUCCUCUGACCGUGCUGUGACAUGAUGAGUACAGGUCACCACUAUAAUAAGCCUGCCUAGCUCCUAGCUAUGGGUCUACAGUCCUCAACCGCAAAGCAGGUGGAAGAAAAUGUUAGAAUCUGAAUGGCUGGGGAGGCAGAUGAAGGCUGCAACUGAACGAGAUCCACAGCUGUCUUGGUCUCCCUGCCAUUGGAUUAAUGUCCCAUUCUGUCAUGAGCUGUGUGAAAGCUGAUAUGCAGCAGCUUUUCCAAAAUAAAAGAAGUCACGCACAGGCGUCUUCCAUGCCUUUUAGUCUUUCUGUUUUUCAGAUUGUUUUUCUUUCUCUCUGGCAAACAGUCCAAAGUAGAACUUUUUUUCAUAUUCUCAAAUAAAUGUGUAUCCCAUGAA